rnacentral:rRNA from 1 species
GUCCUAGCCGUAAACGUUGGGUGCUAGGUGUGGGCGGUCAUCAACCCCGUCCAUGCCGAAGCUAACGCAUUAAGCACCCCGCCUGGGGAGUACGGCCGCAAGGCUAAAACUCAAAGGAAUUGACGGGGCCCCCGCACAAGCGGCGGAGCAUGUUGCUUAAUUCGAUGCGACGCGAAGAACCUUACCUGGGCUUGACAUGCAGGGUGAAAACCCCGUGAAAAGCGGGCGCUCUUCGGAGCCCUGCACAGGUGGUGCAUGGCUGUCGU